rnacentral:rRNA from 1 species
ACAGCCGUACCAGCCUGAACGCGCCCGAUCUCGUCUGAUCUCAGAAGCUAAGUAGGGCUGGACCUGGUUACUACUCGGAUGAGAGAAUAAUGGAAUCUAUCGUGCAUGGCUGCU